AGUGAACGCUGGCGGUAGGCCUAACACAUGCAAGUCGAACGGCAGCACAGGAGAGCUUGCUCUCUGGGUGGCGAGUGGCGGACGGGUGAGGAAUACAUCGGAAUCUACUCUGUCGUGGGGGAUAACGUAGGGAAAAUUACGCUAAUACCGCAUACGACCUACGGGUGAAAGCAGGGGAUCUUCGGACCUUGCGCGAUUGAAUGAGCCGAUGUCGGAUUAGCUAGUUGGAGGGGUAAAGGCCCACCAAGGCGACGAUCCGUAGCUGGUCUGAGAGGAUGAUCAGCCACACUGGAACUGAGACACGGUCCAGACUCCUACGGGAGGCAGCAGUGGGGAAUAUUGGACAAUGGGCGCAAGCCUGAUCCAGCCAUACCGCGUGGGUGAAGAAGGCCUUCGGGUUGUAAAGCCCUUUUGUUGGGAAAGAAAUCCAGCUGGUUAAUACCCGGUUGGGAUGACGGUACCCAAAGAAUAAGCACCGGCUAACUUCGUGCCAGCCGCCGCGGUAA
rnacentral:rRNA from 1 species